rnacentral:rRNA from 1 species
GAUUUUCGCAAUGCCCGAAAGGGUGACGAAGCGACGCCGCGUGCGGGAAGAAGGCCUUCGGGUUGUAAACCGCUGUCGGGAGUUAAGAAAUGUAAGGAUGUUAAUAGCAUCUUUGCUUGACUAAGGCUCCGGAGGAAGCCACAGCUAACUCUGUGCCAGCAGCCGCGGUAAUACAGAGGCGGCAAGCGUUGUUCGGAAUUAUUGGGCGUAAAGAGCACGUAGGCGGCUAUGUAAGUCGGUUGUGAAAGCCUUCCGCUCAACGGGAGAACAGCAUCCGAUACUGCAUGGCUUGAGUGCGGGAGGGGAGAGUGGAACUUCUGGUGGAGCGGUGAAAUGCGUAGAUAUCAGAAGGAACGCCGGCGGCGAAAGCGGCUCUCUGGCCCAUAACUGACGCUGAGUGUGCGAAAGCUAGGGGAGCAAACGGGAUUAGAUACCCCGGUAGUCCUAGCCGUAAACGAUGGGCACUAAGUAGAGGGGUUUUAAUC